rnacentral:rRNA from 1 species
GACGAACGCUGGCGGCGUGCUUAACACAUGCAAGUCGAACGGAAAGGCCCUGCUUUUGUGGAGUGCUCGAGUGGCGAACGGGUGAGUAACACGUGAGUAACCUGCCCUUGACUUUGGGAUAACUUCAGGAAACUGGGGCUAAUACCGGAUAGGAGCUCCUGCUGCAUGGUGGGGGUUGGAAAGUUUCGGCGGUUGGGGAUGGACUCGCGGCUUAUCAGCUUGUUGGUGGGGUAGUGGCUUACCAAGGCUUUGACGGGUAGCCGGCCUGAGAGGGUGACCGGCCACAUUGGGACUGAGAUACGGCCCAGACUCCUACGGGAGGCAGCAGUGGGGAAUAUUGCACAAUGGGCGGAAGCCUGAUGCAGCAACGCCGCGUGCGGGAUGACGGCCUUCGGGUUGUAAACCGCCUUCGCCUGUGACGAAGCGUGAGUGACGGUAAUGGGUAAAGAAGCACCGGCUAACUACGUG